GACAUUAAUGCGAUUAUAUCUCGAAAUAGUAAUUUUUAGCAUAUAGAUAAUAUAUAUUAGUGGAAAAACUUUUUUUACGCAGAAGAUGAGCUUGUCUUCGAGUCCUAACAUUGAGAGCUUUUAAGACCCUACUGUGGUCUAAAUAUUGUGUUAAGAGUAAGGAAGAUACAGCCAAACAUAUAAAGUAAAUAUCAAAGCAUCUUAUAGUUAUGUAGACAACAUGGUACUGAAAAUAGCAAUAAUCAACCAUUUCUUAUGGCUGUCACUGAGCAUCACUACAGUUAUUAGCAAUGACAAGUCCUACAAAAUAAAUGACAACCUGGAGUCAGAAAUGUUAAAUAAUUACAACCAGAACCACUACCUCGUGUUCACUGACACAACCGGAAGCAGACGACAUCGUAUAUGUAUAAUAAAUGGGGAAGAAGAAGACGAUUUGACCUUGACACUUCAAAACGUAUGGAGCACAAUGUGUAAUGACGACGAUGAGCAUAUUACUUUAGGGAGAAGCGUUGUGACAGAACACUGAGUUCUCUGACCAUAACAUUCAAGACAAAACAAUUCAAGAUAGAGAUUUAUAGAAGAUCAAGUAUUUUCCAGAUAGAAGUCAUAGUAGCUAGUGAUAAGAAACUGCAUUGCUAUGCUGGUACUCAAGAUUUUUACACUGAAAAAGACGAAAACAACAAUAUUAUAAUCUACAUAGUAAUACCAUCCUGCAUGUUUGUUUUCUUUCUACUUGUGGCUGUGUACAGCUGUUAUCGAUUUAUGCAUUCUAAAUCACGUCCAGAGCCAAUGCCGCAAAAUGAAUAUAACCCUCCAGAGAACAACAGAGACACUCAUCACUAUGACAAACCUUCCACAAAUUGUCAUCUCCCCACUGACUAUUUGGAUGUCAUAUAGGAGAACUCAGAUUAAUUGUUGCUACAGCGUGAACUAGCUCUACUCAAGCUUACUAAACCAAGAAAAUACAAAAAUAUAAACCCCCUUUAACCUACAAAGCA
rnacentral:sRNA from 1 species